GGGGUUGCAAUUUUUGUCACUAUC
rnacentral:misc_RNA from 1 species